rnacentral:rRNA from 1 species
CGAAAGAUGGUGAACUAUGCCUGGCCAGGAUGAAGCCAGAGGAAACUCUGGUGGCGGUCCGCAGCGAUUCUGACGUGCAAAUCGAUCGUCUGAGUUGGGCAUAGGGGCGAAAGACUAAUCGAACUAUCUAGUAGCUGGUUCCCUCCGAAGUUUCCCUCAGGAUAGCUGGUACUCAAAGGGAUGAAUUUCAUCUGGUAAAGCGAAUGAUUAGAGGAAUUGGGGAUGAAAUGUCCUCAACCUAUUCUCAAACUUUAAAUGGGUGAGAAGCCAAGCUUGCUUAAAAAAAUGCUUAAAUGCAAUUAUUAUGAAGCUUAGGCGAUGAAUCAGAGUACCAAGUGGGCCACUUUU